AAGUUGUUGAUUUUAUUCAAUAGAUUUAUAGACUUUUAAUCUUUUGGUCGAAGGUUCGAAUCCUUCACGGCCCACCA
rnacentral:tRNA from 1 species